rnacentral:SRP_RNA from 1 species
GCUGGGUGUGGUGGCGGGCGCCUGUAGUCCCAGCUACUCGGGAGGCUGAGGCAGAAGAAUUGCUUGAACCUGGGAGGCAGAGGUUGCAGUGAGCUGAGAUCAUGCCACUGCACUCCAGCCUGGGCAACAGAGCAAGACUCUGUCUCAA